UACGGGGGGGGCAAGCGUUGUUCGGAAUUACUGGGCGUAAAGGGUUCGUAGGUGGCCAACUAAGUCAUGCGUGAAAUCCCUCAGCUUAACUGGGGAACUGCGUUUGAUACUGGUUGGCUCGAGUGCAGGAGAGGAACGCGGAAUUCCAGGUGUAGCGGUGAAAUGCGUAGAUAUCUGGAGGAACACCGGUGGCGAAGGCGGCGUUCUGGACUGUAACUGACACUGAGGAACGAAAGCCAGGGGAGCAAAC
rnacentral:rRNA from 1 species